UAAAUACCGACCUGCAUGAAUGGCGUAACGAGAUGGGAGCUGUCUCAAAGAGGGAUCCAGUGAAAUUGUAGUGGAGGUGAAAAUUCCUCCUACCCGCGGCAAGACGGAAAGACCCCGUGGACCUUUACUACAGCUUGACACUGCUAUUUGGAUAAGAAUGUGCAGGAUAGGUGGGAGGCUUUGAGUAUAUGACGCCAGUUGUAUAUGAGCCAUUGUUGAGAUACCACUCUUUCUUAUUUGGGUAGCUAACCAGCUUGAGUUAUCCUCAAGUGGGACAAUGUCUGGUGGGUAGUUUGACUGGGGCGGUCGCCUCCCAAAUAAUAACGGAGGCUUACAAAGGUUGGCUCAGAACGGUUGGAAAUCGUUCGUAGAGUAUAAAGGUAUAAGCCAGCUUAACUGCAAGACAUACAAGUCAAGCAGAGACGAAAGUCGGUCUUAGUGAUCCGGUGGUUCUGUGUGGAAGGGCCAUCGCUCAAAGGAUAAAAGGUACCCCGGGGAUAACAGGCUGAUCUCCCCCAAGAGCUCACAUCGACGGGGAGGUUUGGCACCUCGAUGUCGGCUCAUCGCAUCCUGGGGCUGGAG
rnacentral:rRNA from 1 species